AGGGUCCAGGGUUCAAGUCCCUGUUCGGG
rnacentral:piRNA from 8 species